AGAGUUUGUCCUGGCUCAGGACGAACGCUGGCGGCGUGCUUAACACAUGCAAGUCGAACGAUGAAGCCCAGCUUGCUGGGUGGAUUAGUGGCGAACGGGUGAGUAACACGUGAGUAACCUGCCCCCGACUCUGGGAUAAGCCCGGGAAACUGGGUCUAAUACCGGAUAUUACCUUUGACCGCAUGGUUGUUGGUGGAAAGAUUUAUCGGUGGGGGAUGGACUCGCGGCCUAUCAGCUUGUUGGUGAGGUAAUGGCUCACCAAGGCGACGACGGGUAGCCGGCCUGAGAGGGUGACCGGCCACACUGGGACUGAGACACGGCCCAGACUCCUACGGGAGGCAGCAGUGGGGAAUAUUGCACAAUGGGCGAAAGCCUGAUGCAGCGACGCCGCGUGAGGGAUGACGGCCUUCGGGUUGUAAACCUCUUUCAGUAGGGAAGAAGCGAAAGUGACGGUACCUGCAGAAGAAGCGCCGGCUAACUACGUGCCAGCAGCCGCGGUAAUACGUAGGGCGCAAGCGUUAUCCGGAUUUAUUGGGCGUAAAGAGCUCGUAGGCGGUUUGUCGCGUCUGCCGUGAAAGUCCGAGGCUCAACCUCGGAUCUGCGGUGGGUACGGGCAGACUAGAGUGAUGUAGGGGAGACUGGAAUUCCUGGUGUAGCGGUGAAAUGCGCAGAUAUCAGGAGGAACCACCGAUGGCGAAGGCAGGUCUCUGGGCAUUUACUGACGCUGAGGAGCGAAAGCAUGGGGAGCGAACAGGAUUAGAUACCCUGGUAGUCCAUGCCGUAAACGUUGGGCACUAGGUGUGGGGGACAUUCCACGUUUUCCGCGCCGUAGCUAACGCAUUAAGUGCCCCGCCUGGGGAGUACGGCCGCAAGGCUAAAACUCAAAGGAAUUGACGGGGGCCCGCACAAGCGGCGGAGCAUGCGGAUUAAUUCGAUGCAACGCGAAGAACCUUACCAAGGCUUGACAUGUGCCAGACCGCCUCAGAGAUGGGGUUUCCCUUCGGGGCUGGUUCACAGGUGGUGCAUGGUUGUCGUCAGCUCGUGUCGUGAGAUGUUGGGUUAAGUCCCGCAACGAGCGCAACCCUCGUUCCAUGUUGCCAGCACGUAAAGGUGGGGACUCAUGGGAGACUGCCGGGGUCAACUCGGAGGAAGGUGGGGAUGACGUCAAAUCAUCAUGCCCCUUAUGUCUUGGGCUUCACGCAUGCUACAAUGGCCGGUACAAUGGGUUGCGAUACUGUGAGGUGGAGCUAAUCCCUAAAAGCCGGUCUCAGUUCGGAUUGGGGUCUGCAACUCGACCCCAUGAAGUCGGAGUCGCUAGUAAUCGCAGAUCAGCAACGCUGCGGUGAAUACGUUCCCGGGCCUUGUACACACCGCCCGUCAAGUCACGAAAGUUGGUAACACCCGAAGCCGAUGGCCUAACCACCUUGUGUGGGGGGAGUCGUCGAAGGUGGGACUGGCGAUUGGGACUAAGUCGUAACAAGGUAGCCGUACCGGAAGGUGCGGCUGGAUCACCUCCUUA
rnacentral:rRNA from 1 species